CUAAGCUUUCUCCCAUAACUAAAAAUAAUCAUGGCUUCGUUUAGGGUUUUUGGCAACAAAUGCAGAGCUCUAAUGGCUCCGGCCAAGUCCGCCGCCGCCUCCACCUCCACCUCCACCUCCACCUCCACCUUCUCCUCCACUCCUAAAGCUACCAAAACCACUACCGCUACAAAGGCCAAAUCUGGCAACGCUGGCAUACUCAAGGUCCAAAAUGUCUCCCCUGCUCUCGCCAAGUUCAUCGGUUCCUCCGAAGCGUCCCGCUCUGGUGCCGUCAAGAAAAUCUGGGAGUAUGUUAAAUCGCACAACCUUCAGGUCCGAAUCCCCAUCGUAUACUUGUGAUUUCUGUAUCUAUGUAUUUUUGUGGCUCAGCGUUACUUGAACAUCGUCUUAAGGUUUAGUAAUGGCUAUUAGUAUUAUGCAGAACUGUUGUACUCUGUACUUUACUAAACUGAUGUCGCAUAACAUUAUAAUGGAACAAGUUUUGGAGCGUGCGCUGUAAUUUUUUAAGUUA
rnacentral:lncRNA from 1 species